GAUGCACAUGAGGAUGUGCCAGAGGUGACUACUACUAAUAACAUACCAUCAUUUCUUGGAUAUUCUUGUAUUGGUAGUACGGGAACGUUGCAGGCCACAUUGGUGGUGAGCGACGAAGAAAUGCUUCCCUUAAAGAUACAAAAGGUUCCAGGUACUUUAAAUUAUUAUUAUAUAUACUCUAAUUGUAAUUUACUUUAUGAUCACUCAUUUUGGACUAAUGAUCCCAUGAAUUUUUUGCAGGCAAUGAUAUUUUCUAUAAACAUCUUAGUGACAUUGCAUUGCAGAUAUUUGGGCCCACCAUACGUAAAAGUGGUGGAAUGACCAAGAAAAAAGGUUAAAAGAUGAAUUGACAAACCAAAUGGUUGAGUGGUUUGGAAAUGACACCUUUGACAAAACCAAGCUCCUUGAAAAAGCUAGCACAUAUCUAAAGUAUGUGAGGGACCAAUAUAGGACCCAUUUGGAGAGGAACCUAAAGUAUGAGCGUCCCCCCAUGAUUCUAGAGAGGGAGUGGAAGGACCUGAUUUUGGAUGCCAAGGAGAGAAUUGAAAGGAAAAAAGGAAAUACACCACUAGACUCCAGAAGAAGACUGAGUGACACAUCAAAGGAAACCAAGGCAAGGCAAGAAAAGCACGGGCAACACAAACUCGGCUCUGGUGGUUACAUGAAACUUGCUUCACGAAUUGUAAGUAUCUCAUGUAAAAGAAAUAUUGCAUCAAAAUAUUAAUAAAUUGCAAAUGUUUUUUUUUUAUCAAACAAUGCAAGCAAAAUUCACGGUACCAAGCAAAAAUGCAAGGCUCUAAAUUCAAUAGAGCACCCACAAAAGAUGACAAGAGAAUUGCCUACCAGCAAGGCUAUUCAGCCAUGGCUGAUCGGCUACGAGAAUUGAGUGGGCAUACACAACAUUCAAGUGCAUCCGUC